GUUCAUGAGUGCUGCUGCUGUCCUGCCCAAGUACCCAGCUUGCAGAGUGCCAGAGUUAGAGUCCCAGGGGUGUUCUCCACAGCUGCAUGCUUGAUCCAGGCCUAUCAGCCCUGCUUCUUUAGAAUUGACAGUCUGGCUUCGUGGUUAAUUCACAGCAUCUGAGGAAUACAUCCAAAGAGGGUGAUACUGUGGCAUGAUGGUACCAGGAUUCCAAGUUCAUUCCAGAGAAGAUGGCAAGAUGCAGAGAGGAGGAGUCACGCCUGAAGCCACACAGCUGACAUCAGAGCCAAAGCAUGAGCCUCAGUCUCUCUGACCCAGAGCUACCACCCUUGCUGCCUUGGGAAGAAGGAAGCCCCCUCCUAUUCUAUCCUUGAGCUGCCUUGGCAAGGAGGGGCCCCUUGCUGCCGCCAUCCUCACAGGACACCAUCCACAUGAGGGGAUGCCUGACUGGAGUGCCAUGAAGGAGACCAAGAGGGCAGGGUGAUGGAGAAAGCACAGGAUGAAGUUCUCGUCUUCCUUCCAACAGAAUCUCAGUUGCACUCAGUUGUUGCCCCCCUCGAACCUCCCUUGAGCCUCAGGAGAAACCACCCUGAUUCAGAGGUCCAGAGAAGACCUGACUAGCCCAAGGGUGUCACCGUGUCUGGAUGCGAUGCCUGGAAGUGCUACAGCCACUCGCGCCCAGCCUGAAGAUGAAACCAACCCCAAACACAGCCA
ensembl:lncRNA novel transcript, antisense to CBLN1